rnacentral:rRNA from 1 species
GAUCAUGGCUCAGGAUGAACGCUGGCGGCGUGCUUAACACAUGCAAGUCGAACGGGAAUUACUUUAUUGAAACUUCGGUCGAUAUGAUUUAAUUCUAGUGGCGGACGGGUGAGUAACGCGUGGGCAACCUGCCUUAUACAGGGGGAUAACAGUCAGAAAUGGCUGCUAAUACCGCAUAAGCGCACAGAGCUGCAUGGCUCCGUGUGAAAAACUCCGGUGGUAUAAGAUGGACCCGCG